rnacentral:rRNA from 1 species
AUUGAACGCUGGCGGCAUGCCUUACACAUGCAAGUCCGAACGGUAGCGCGGGGCAACCUGGCGACGAGUGGCGAACGGGUGAGUAAAGCAUCGGAACGUGCCCUGGAAUGGGGGGAUAACGUAGCGAAAGUUACGCUAAUACCGCAUAUUCUGUGAGCAGGAAAGCAGGGGAUCGCAAGACCUUGCGUUCUGGGAGCGGCCGAUGUCGGAUUAGCUAGUUGGUGGGGUAAAAGCCUACCAAGGCGACGAUCCGUAGCGGGUCUGAGAGGAUGAUCCGCCACACUGGGACUGAGACACGGCCCAGACUCCUACGGGAGGCAGCAGUGGGGAAUUUUUGGACAAUGGGCGGAAGCCUGAUCCAGCCAUGCCGCGUGAGUGAAGAAAGCCUUCGGGUUGUAAAGCUCUUUCGGUGGGGAAGAAAUUGCACGGGUUAAUACCCUGUGUAGAUGACGGUACCCGACUAAGAAGCACCGGCUAACUACGUGCCAGCAGCCGCGGUAAU